CCGUGCAAUCACGCGCGUAUACAAUUCCUUUCUCUCCCUCUUUCUUGGUCUGCGUGGCCGCAUCGACGCCCUUCGCUUCCUGCCCUCCCUCUCUCUGUCUCACUCUUCACGCGUGUUCCACGAAGGAAAAGUAUAUAAGGAGGGCGACGUGAGAUCGGCAGCCCUGAUUGUUCCCGCGUCUUCGUCGUGCUCGCACACAUUGCCAUGAAGCGCCGUGGCGGCCGUGUCGUGAGCUCCAAGAGCACCGUGGUUGGCGCGUCAAGUGCUGCUGUCACUCCCGAAGCACCAGGUCUUUCUGCUGCUGUCAACGGCCAUGAUGCAUCCGUCGCCGCCGCCGCCACUGCUGCUGCUGCUGCUGCUGCGUCCUUGUCACCAUCUCUGACGUCACCGACAACACCAGUUGCGCGAGAUGAGCCGCGGAGAUCGGGUAAUCCUGUGACUAGUGCGAGCGCCACGAUGAUGGAUGUGCCGACGCCGACACUGACGAUACCGACGCUAGACAUCUUCGCGCGCUUUCAGAGCAAGCGGGACGACUUUGAUGAGGACUGGCUCCUGCUCCAGGAGGAUCCCGCCGCGAGGAAUGAGACGCCUCGGAUCGCCGCGCACGUCGCGGACAAGCUUCGUCGUCACCAGGCGCAGCUUGGCGCCCACCGUGCCGCCGCUGCAGCGGAUCGAAUUCGGCAGGACAAAGACCGAGUCGUGCCAGCACGUGCUGCAGCGAAGACGGUGAGCUCCGUCAGCGGCGACGGCCUCGACACUGUUGCGACGGAGGGUCCACGGCAGGCACGCCGUCAGCGCCGUCCCGAAACCUAUGACUCUGCCGAGGACAGCGGCAGCGACGGCGCAGGCGCCGACGCGGACAUCGGUACUGUUGCCGCUGACAACGACGGCGAUGAUAGCGACGAGUACGUGCCGGAGGAUCGCACGGCCUCGCAGUACAAGCGGCCGCAAAACGCAAAGAAGGCGGCCUCCAAAGAUGAGGGCUCUGCGGGCGUGGCUCUCAGUGGCGGCUCCCCGCCUGUGAGUACGCCUGCGGGGCGCACUGCUGCUGCUGGUGCCGGCGCUGAGGCAGCUUCCGUGAACCCAUUCACACCCUUAUCGGAGGACGAGGAGCAGCUGGAUGUGGAGGCCGAGCACGAUGGCCUCACAGGCGACUACCUGAACUUCCGACUCACUUCCGCGACGGGAAGUAGGGCGCUCGACGCCGAUGCACUGCAGGCGACCGUGCACCUGCAGCCUUCUCCCUCUCACGGCGAGAAACGCAACGUGAACGACCGCAGAUCCUAUCGCAGCCAGGAGCAGCGGCGCCAGACACCACUAUCACCGCAGCAGACGGAGCAAGAUCGUGUGUUGGUGGUGCCGCUGUGGAGCAUCGCGCGGAUGGAGCAGCACGGCGGCUACUGUAGCGCCAGCCCCCUCAUCGCCCUCCACCAGGAGGUCACGGACCUCGUCGACUACCUUCGCCCGACAGAGGCGGAGGUGACGAUGCGGCGCUACAUCGAGAAGGAUAUUGGCCGGCUGGUCGAUCGGCUGUGGCCUGGCAGCUCGGUACUCGUCUAUGGCAGCAUGUACACCCACCUGCUGCUGCCGCUGUCGGACCUUGACAUCACACUGUUGGAUGUGCCGGUGCCGGCGGAGGAGGCGCUCACCAGCUUGGCAAAGGAGAUCAGCAGCGCGGGCCUGUGCGAGAACGUCUAUCCGCAGGUGAUUCUCAAGACGAAGGUGCCCCUCAUCAAGUUCGUCCACAAGGGCUCGCUCAUCGACGUCGACAUCAGUGUUGGCGCCGUGGACGGGAAGCGCAACUCGGAGUGCAUUGUGCAGUACAUGAACAUGUACCCAGAGGCACUGCCGCUUACCUUGGUCGUGAAAUACUUUGUCAUGCAGCGCGGCAUGCAUGAGCCGUACUACGGAGGCCUUGGCAGCUACGCCGCCACGCUGCUCGUCGUCGCCUUCCUGCGGCAGCACCCCAUCUACACAACGCAGCCGGAGAAGCGGACCAUGACGGGGCUUGGCAGGCUACUAGUCGAUUUCUUUCGUAUGUGCGGUCAGCAUUGGAACUACCGAAGAGUAGCUGUGUGCCUGGCGAACUACGCUGUGCCGAGCAACAUCGAUGACGCGAUGGCCGCGAACGUCCACGACGAAGGCGACUUCCGCAUUCGUGCCGACUGUGGCGGUCGGAUGCAGUCACCGGUGCUGGCCAGCCCCCCGCGCGGCCCGAUGGGCCCCGCGCAGGUGUGGAUAGAGGACCCGGUCGACGCCUCUAACAACGCCGCCAGCUCACUGCGGUUUUUCCAUUCUCUCUCCGCCAUGUUCUCCUACGCCUAUCUUGCCCUGACGACCGACUUCGACAGAGCCGCGGCGGACGCGGCGCAGCCGUCUUCGCCUGCGCCGUCAUCGUCUCCGUCAUCGCCGUCCUCGAACGACAUCAGCCGCCGUCCGACGCUGCUCUCGCGCAUCUUCCACGCCGAUGCGGAGAUGGUGUACCGUCGGCGGGCCGUGGCCGCGGCGUACAAGCGACUGAACGCCGAGAUGCCGGCGUACAUGAAGGAGGUUCAAGACUUCCGGCGCGAUGAGGACGCGGCGAUGCUGCAGGGCAAUUGUGACGGUGUGGCGCACAGCUGGCGCGCGCGACGGCUGCGGCGACGCGAGGGCGAUCCCAUCCUGUUUCCACAGCAGCGGAACGUCACGUCAUUGGAGGAGCGCUUGGCACUUUCCCAUCUGCGCGAGUCGUCCUCGCCACCUCCGCCGGCGUCGGAGGUUGACAUGAAGAAGCGCCAGCGCGAGGCGGGGGAUGAGGAUAGUCAGAGAAAGGUGCAGAGAGACCGCCGAGAGGAUUCUGCGUUGCCCUCUCGCAGCAGCUCGCGGUCGUCGCCGUGCACCACCGGCUCAGAGAGCAACGCCAGCUCGGUGCGCGUGGAUGUGACGAGAAGGACGGAGCGGAGCCGCAAGCUGCGACGGUAGUGAAGUACCCCCUUCCUCAUCUCAGCCUCCGCCCUUAGAGAGUGCAACGAUGAAGACCCCACGCACGCGCAUAACCGUGAUGAAGGAUUCCGAAAGGAGGACGAGGGGAAGGGAAGGAGCCCUGAAGAGGGGUCGGGGCUCACUGGUGCCGAUGCCGCGGUGUGUUGUCAUGAUGGCUGGCGCAAGUGCGCGCAUUCUCACACUCGUGUGUGUAUGUGUCUGUCUGCCUGUCUCUGUGUGUGUGCGCCGAUGCGCGCACGCAACACGCUUACAUGUGUGUGAGUGUAUGUUGCUCUUUUUUUUCGUCUGUGUAACUCUUCAAGAAUGGCGCAAGAGAAUGAGUUGCUUAACGCGCGUAAGACCCGACGCAACACGCAUUUCAUGCAGCGACUUCCUCUUCCCUAACCCGCCCACGCACAUCCAUGCGCUAUGCUUCUCUGCGAUGCACCAUCUGAUGGACACGUGCGUGU
rnacentral:misc_RNA from 1 species